rnacentral:pre_miRNA from 1 species
AAAACAGUCUCUUGGGGAUUUUGUUAAAAUGUAGCUUCUAACUCUGGGUUUGUCGGAGGUUCUGAGAUUCUUCAUUUCUAACAAGCUCCCAGAGGAUGCUCAU